UUGAGCUAUAUUUUGUUUUUAAUGUUUCAGAUCCUUAUUAUCUGUCAUAAUCUAAAUUAAGGUUUACACUUUUUUAAAGAAACAUUUGUGUUAUGAAAGAUUUGUUUUAAUAUCCCUUCAGGUACAAAAUAUGUCAUAUCUUUCCACUGAUUCUUUUGACUGUUGGUUUAAGUUAUU